rnacentral:rRNA from 1 species
UCCUAAGGUAGCGAAAUUCCUUGUCGGGUAAGUUCCGACCUGCACGAAUGGCAUAAUGAUGGCCAGGCUGUCUCCACCCGAGACUCAGUGAAAUUGAAAUCGCCGUGAAGAUGCGGUGUACCCGCGGCUAGACGGAAAGACCCCGUGAACCUUUACUAUAGCUUGACACUGAACAUUGAAUUUUGAUGUGUAGGAUAGGUGGGAGCCUUUGAAGCAGUGACGCCAGUCAUUGUGGAGGCGACCUUGAAAUACCACCCUUUAACGUUUGAUGUUCUAACGAAGUGCCUGAAACGGGUACUCGGACAGUGUCUGGUGGGUAGUUUGACUGGGGCGGUCUCCUCCCAAAGCGUAACGGAGGAGCACGAAGGUUUGCUAAUGACGGUCGGACAUCGUCAGGUUAGUGCAAUGGUAUAAGCAAGCUUAACUGCGAGACAGACAAGUCGAGCAGGUGCGAAAGCAGGUCAUAGUGAUCCGGUGGUUCUGAAUGGAAGGGCCAUCGCUCAACGGAUAAAAGGUACUCCGGGGAUAACAGGCUGAUACCGCCCAAGAGUUCAUAUCGACGGCGGUGUUUGGCACCUCGAUGUCGGCUCAUCACAUCCUGGGGCUGAAGUAGGUCCCAAGGGUAUGGCUGUUCGCCAUUUAAAGUGGUACGCGAGCUGGGUUUAGAACGUCGUGAGACAGUUCGGUCCCUAUCUGCCGUGGGCGUUGGAUGAUUGAUUGGGGCUGCUCCUAGUACGAGAGGACCGGAGUGGACGCAUCACUGGUGUUCCAGUUGUCUCGCCAGAGGCAUUGCUGGGUAGCUAAAUGCGGAAGAGAUAAGUGCUGAAAGCAUCUAAGCACGAAACUUGCCAAGAGAUGAGUCAUCCCUGACUUUAAGUCAGUAAGGGUUGUUGUAGACUACGACGUAGAUAGGUUGGGUGUGUAAGUGUAGUGAUACAUUGAGCUAACCAAUACUAAUUGCCCGAGAGGCUUAACCAUACAACGCUCAAG